rnacentral:rRNA from 1 species
UUCCGGUUGAUCCCGCCGGAGGCCACUGCUAUGGGGGUCCGACUAAGCCAUGCGAGUCAUGGGGCGCCUUGCGCGCACCGGCGGACGGCUCAGUAACACGUCGGUAACCUACCCUCGGGAGGGGGAUAACCCCGGGAAACUGGGGCUAAUCCCCCAUAGGCCUGAGGUACUGGAAGGUCCUCAGGCCGAAAGGGGCUCUGCCCGCCCGAGGAUGGGCCGGCGGCCGAUUAGGUAGUUGGUGGGGUAACGGCCCACCAAGCCGAAGAUCGGUACGGGCCAUGAGAGUGGGAGCCCGGAGAUGGACACUGAGACACGGGUCCAGGCCCUACGGGGCGCAGCAGGCGCGAAACCUCCGCAAUGCGGGCAACCGCGACGGGGGGACCCCCAGUGCCGUGGCAUCGCCACGGCUUUUCCGGAGUGUAAAGAGCUCCGGGAAUAAGGGCUGGGCAAGGCCGGUGGCAGCCGCCGCGGUAAUACCGGCGGCCCGAGUGGUGGCCGCUAUUAUUGGGCCUAAAGCGUCCGUAGCCGGGCCCGUAAGUCCCUGGCGAAAUCCCACGGCUCAACCGUGGGGCUUGCUGGGGAUACUGCGGGCCUUGGGACCGGGAGAGGCGGAGGGUACUCCUGGGGUAGGGGUGAAAUCCUAUAAUCCCAGGAGGACCGCCAGUGGCGAAGGCGCUCCGCUGGAACGGGUCCGACGGUGAGGGACGAAGGCCAGGGGAGCGAACCGGAUUAGAUACCCGGGUAGUCCUGGCUGUAAAGGAUGCGGGCUAGGUGUCGGGCGAGCUUCGUGCUCGCCCGGUGCCGAAGGGAAGCCGUUAAGCCCGCCGCCUGGGGAGUACGGCCGCAAGGCUGAAACUUAAAGGAAUUGGCGGGGGAGCACUACAAGGGGUGGAGCGUGCGGUUUAAUUGGAUUCAACGCCGGA